GAUCAUGGCUCAGGAUGAACGCUGGCGGCGUGCUUAACACAUGCAAGUCGAACGGAACUUUCUCCCGAUGAAGCGGAGUGCUUGCACAAAGUGGAAUCAUUGAAAGUUAGUGGCGGACGGGUGAGUAACGCGUGGGUAACCUGCCAUAUACAGGGGGAUAACACUUAGAAAUAGGUGCUAAUACCGCAUAAGCGCACGGAGUCGCAUGACCCUGUGUGAAAAACUCCGGUGGUAUAUGAUGGACCCGCGUCUGAUUAGCUAGUUGGUGAGGUAACGGCCCACCAAGGCGACGAUCAGUAGCCGGCCUGAGAGGGUGAACGGCCACAUUGGGACUGAGACACGGCCCAAACUCCUACGGGAGGCAGCAGUGGGGAAUAUUGCACAAUGGGGGAAACCCUGAUGCAGCGACGCCGCGUGAGUGAAGAAGUAUUUCGGUAUGUAAAGCUCUAUCAGCAGGGAAGAUAAUGACGGUACCUGACUAAGAAGCCCCGGCUAACUACGUGCCAGCCGCCGC
rnacentral:rRNA from 1 species